AGUGAACGCUGGCGGUAGGCCUAACACAUGCAAGUCGAACGGCAGCACAGUAAGAGCUUGCUCUUACGGGUGGCGAGUGGCGGACGGGUGAGGAAUACAUCGGAAUCUACUUUUUCGUGGGGGAUAACGUAGGGAAACUUACGCUAAUACCGCAUACGACCUACGGGUGAAAGCAGGGGAUCUUCUGACCUUGCGCGAUUGAAUGAGCCGAUGUCGGAUUAGCUAGUUGGCGGGGUAAAGGCCCACCAAGGCGACGAUCCGUAGCUGGUCUGAGAGGAUGAUCAGCCACACUGGAACUGAAACACGGUCCAGACUCCUACGGGAGGCAGCAGUGGGGAAUAUUGGACAAAGGGCGCAAGCCUGAUCCAGCCAUACCGCGUGGGUGAAGAAGGCCUUCGGGUUGUAAAGCCCUUUUGUUGGGAAAGAAAAGCAGCAGGUUAAUACCCCGCUGUUCUGACGGUACCCAAAGAAUAAGCACCGGCUAACUUCGUG
rnacentral:rRNA from 1 species